AUGAAUCUCCCUUAUGUUGCCAACAUCUGCUGGAUCGUGGAAAAAGCAAGAGAAUUCCAGAAAAACAUCUAUUUCUGCUUUAUUGACAACGCCAAAGCUUUUGACUGUGUGGAUCACAAUAAACUGUGGAAAAUUCUGAGAGAGAUGGGAAUACCAGACCACCUGACCUGCCUCUUGAGACAUCUGUAUGCAGGUCAGGAAGCAACAGUUAGAACUGGACAUGGAACAACAGACUGGUUCCAAAUAGGAAAAGGAGUCUGUCAAGGCUGUGUAUUGUCACCCUGCUUAUUUAACUUCUAUGCAGAGUACAUCAUGAGAAACACUGGGCUGGAAGAAACACAAGCUGGAAUCAAGAUUGCCAGGAGAAAUAUCAAUCACCUCAGAUAUGCAGAUGACAGCACCCUUAUGGCAGAAAGUGAAGAGGAACUCAAAAGCUUCUUGAUGAAAGUGAAAGUGGAGAGUGAAAAGGUUGGCUUAAAGCUCAACAUUCAGAAAAUGAAGAUCAUGGCAUCUGGCCCCAUCACUUCAUGGGAAAUAGGUGGGGAAACAGUGGAAACAGUGUCAGACUUUAUUAUUUUGGGCUCCAAAAUCACUGCAGAUGGUGACUGCAGCCAUGAAAUUAAAAGACGCUUACUCCUUGGAAGAAAAGUUAUGACCAACCUAGAGAGCAUAUUGAAAAGCAGAGACAUUGCUUUGCCAACAAAGGUCUAUCUAGUCAAGGCUAUGGUUUUUCCAGUGGUCAUGUAUGGAUGUGAGAGUUGGACUGUGAAGAAAGCUGAGCACCGAAGAAUUGAUGCUUUUGAACUGCGGUGUUGGAGAAGACUUUUGAGAGUCCCUUGGACUGCAAGGAGAUCCAACCAGUCCAUUCUGAAAGAAAUCAGCCCUGGGAUUUCUUUGGAGGGAAUGAUGCUAAAGCUGAAACUCCAGUACUUUGGCCACUUCAUGAGAAGAGUUGACUCAUUGGAAAAGACUCUGAUGCUGGGAGGGAUUUGGGGGCAGGAGGAGAAGGGGAUGACAGAGGAUGAGAUGGCUGGAUGGCAUCACUGA
rnacentral:lncRNA from 1 species